UGGCACAGUGGCUAAAGCACUCGGCUGCUAACCGAAAGGUUGGUGGUUUGAACCCACC
rnacentral:tRNA from 1 species